AGAAACAGGAAAUGCUCCACCUCCCUCUGUCGUCUGCCAGCCGCCAUGCCAAUCCAAACACACCAGGCCUCUCCAGACGGAUCCAGAGCAUGAUUUCAGAAAGAAGAGAAGCCUUUCCCCUCUUUUUUCCCCCUUCUCCUGCCCAAAAUCUCCCACCCCUUCCUCCCUCCCUCUCUCUCUGUCUCACUGUGUCUUCCAGAGAGUAAUGCUUUGGGAGAGAACUGAGUAGACACAGAAGGGAGAGGAAAGGAAAGGGAGGGAGGGAGGGAUGGACAGAAGAAAAGAGGGAGGGGGCAGAGGUUUACUCCAUCCAGCAUGGGCUGCUAAAUUGGUUUCAGAGCAGCAGUUGGACUCCGGGGAUGCACGGCACACACUGCCGGCUAGCUGUGUUUGCUUUUGUGGGGUGUAGGAAAUUUGAUCUCCAUCCAUGUAGCCAACCCACAUCCCACAUCCCACCAAUCACCACCAGCAAGAAUGAAGGGAGCUAUGAGGACAGUCGCCCUAAAACAGGCGUCUGAAAAUUGGAUGAGAUGUUCGUUUAGCGGGCAGCUGGUCUGGGGCCGAUAUGAAUUGCGUUUCCCCACGCCAGGAAAGGUCAAGCCCCCUCGCCUUGACGGAGUGCAUCAGCCUAUUGAGUGGCGCUUUAGUCCAUUUACCAACAGCCAAUAGCAAGGCAGCAGACAGGAGAGAGGGAAGCACAGAAAUCUGUGUAGAGGAGAGAAAAGAAUGACAGCACGUCGGAUAUAAAUUCAUUGUUUCUCAUCACCCAGCUGGGUCAGGAAUGGCUGGGAGUGAUUGCUGGGAUGGGGGAAGUGAGGUAGGAAUAUUACCAUCUGAGUGGGUUGUGUCUGUGUGAGAGAAGACAUGAGCACCCCUCUUUCACCACCAUUGGCUCCACAUUCAGCCUCAUUGCCCGGAUUUUAAAAUGUAUAGAGCUUAUGUUGCAUGAAGCACCCCAAUGAAAAUCAAACAAUGUGUCCUCCAAAGCAUUCAGCUUAAUAUAGAAAAUGUACAAAAGAAGAUAGAAUAGAUUGGGUUCUCUCAUGUCGUAUUUAAAAGAACAGGAAUGUUUCCAUAGCACCGUUGACACCUUUGUUAAAUGAAAAAAAUGCAUUCCAAAAAUAGGAACAAUUAAUAGGUUGGUUACAUGCUGAAAACAGACAUCUCAACAGUACAAAUACAACUGUGCCUCAGGGCUCCUAUCUCUCCCAUCUGUCUCUCUCUCUGAUUCUCAUACAUGCACACAGAGAAAGGGUUGCUGUCCCUUUAAUUUUCAUCCCUGCGUAUCUGGAGGAGUUAAGGCAAAGCAAUUAAAACAAAGGCAUAUUUAACAUGGGGUUAAUGAUUGGCUGACCCUGCAGUCAGCACAGUGACAAUAUCUUAAUUAUUGAGAAACCUAAAGUCAUUACGCCUACGAAUGGCCUGAGGAGCAUCUCUAUUGAUUGGGAUCCAGUCCCAUUACAGGCCCAGCCUCAACCAAUGAAGCCCUUAUUACAGACACACACACACACACACACACACACUCACUCUCUCUCUCUCUCUUUCCUCAGCUCUAUGUCUUUCUUUCUCUCUCACUUGCCUCCUCCUCCGCUGUGUCACAGUGCAAGCUAUUGGGUGUGUUGAAUGGUGAGACAAGGGCCAGACGAGGCUUGUGGGCUUUAUUGCUUUC
ensembl:lncRNA